AAAUUAGAGCGCUUAUUAAAAAGCACUGCAAUAUAGCGUUGUUACAGCCAAAAAAAACCGUGCCACUUAGUUUUUUUUAUUUUGUGAAAUAUUUCAAAACUCCCACGACUCCCACUAUACUUCUGCAAAUCCCUAACCUAUCACUACUGAAAAUAUGAAAUUGCCCCAAUUGUGCGCUCAUCAAUCUCCCUAAUCUCUCUGAAUAUCAUCCUCAAAUUUUUACUUGACGAACCAUAAACAUUUAAUUCGUUUUCUUUUUGCUGAAUUUUCCCUUUUAAUUUGCCCAAUUCGUCAAUUUUGUUUGAGAAUUUUAAUCGACCCAUACAAAUUCAAAAUUCUCAUUCUAAGCUCAGUUUUGCCCAUCAAUUUCGGCUAUAAUUGCAGAUCUAAUUUCAAUAUUCUCGAAAAAAUUCUUGUCAAAAAGAAAGAGAUCCAGAAAAGAGGCUACUUUCAGGAUGUUGAAGCUUCUCCCAGAGCUAACAAUGACACUAAUCGUAGAGAUUAGUUAUUGCGUUACCAAGGGUAUGCUUUGGCAACUUCAAAGUUGGAACAUGAAAGCAAUUUUAAAGCAUCAAUAUUUAGUCUUAUAAAAUAAAUCUUAUAUUGGCAUAGAUUUGGUUUUGGCAUUAAGUACAUUCUAGCUACUGAACGUUUUUUUAUUUUUUUUUUAGGACUUUAGAUGGUUAUUUGUUUAAAUGAUUUUAGGUACUUUAUUUCAAUGUCUCUUGUUUGAUGACAUUUAUGACUAUAAUUUAUUUUUAAUAAAAUUUUUGGUGUUUACAAUUUUAUCAUGUAAAAAACAGGUUAUUUAGUAACGCUCUAAAUGUUAUUAUAGAUGCUAUUACAGAAC